GGUCCAUCUACUAUCCUUCUGACCCAGGUCCCAUCUACUAUCCAUCUGACCCUAUGUAGCCAGGUCCAUCUACUAUCCUUCAGACCCUAUGUAGCCAGGUCCAUCUACUAUCCAUCUGACCCGAUGUAGCCAGGUCCAUCUACUAUCCAUCUGACCCUAUGUAGCCAGGUCCAUCUACUAUCCAUCUGACCCUAUGUAGCCAGGUCCAUCUACUAUCC